rnacentral:rRNA from 2 species
UCAGAUUGAACGCUGGCGGCAGGCCUAACACAUGCAAGUCGAACGGUAGCAGGAAGUGCUUGCACUUCGCUGACGAGUGGCGGACGGGUGAGUAAUGCUUGGGAACUUGCCUUUGCGAGGGGGAUAACAGUUGGAAACGACUGCUAAUACCGCAUAAUGUCUACGGACCAAACGGGGCUUAGGCUUCGGCGCAGAGA